UAGGGAAUCUUCGGCAAUGGACGAAAGUCUGACCGAGCAACGCCGCGUGAGUGAAGAAGGCUUUCGGAUCGUAAAACUCUGUUGUUAGAGAAGAACAAGUACGUUAGUAACUGAACGUCCCCUGACGGUAUCUAACCAGAAAGCCACGGCUAACUACGUGCCAGCAGCCGCGGUAAUACGUAGGUGGCAAGCGUUGUCCGGAUUUAUUGGGCGUAAAGCGAGCGCAGGCGGUUUCUUAAGUCUGAUGUGAAAGCCCCCGGCUCAACCGGGGAGGGUCAUUGGAAACUGGGAGACUUGAGUGCAGAAGAGGGGAGUGGAAUUCCAUGUGUAGCGGUGAAAUGCGUAGAUAUAUGGAGGAACACCAGUGGCGAAGGCGGCUCUCUGGUCUGUAACUGACGCUGAGGCUCGAAAGCGUGGGGAGCAAACAGG
rnacentral:rRNA from 1 species